CAAAACAAUUGAGGUCUAGCCUAGUUUGAAAGUGUGAACCUGUAUAUUUUACACUAUGUUGCCUGAAGGUUGUAAAACAGAAAGUUUGGAGAAGGAAAUACCGUUAGCCUACCUAGGUUGUAAACUCUGGACUACUGGUGCUUCAGACAACCGAUAGAUCUUCAGGUUUUGCAAGUUCGAAAGUGGAAAAACAUAUCCUGCCAUUUUACCUCUGGGGCAUUCGCAUUUGGCCCUUAUCAAGACUGUCAUUGUAUCAACACUACAAACGAAUUUCUGGAAAGCCUAAUUGCCAAGAUAAACAGCCAGUGAAAUCAAAAAGUGCAAGAAAAAGAGACAGGGGCCACUGCAAUGUUGAAUCUAUUGGAUGGUUUCCACCUAUUUGAAGAGAUGAAAUGAACUAUUUUGCUGGCGGAGACAAUCACUUCUCGAGUGUAUUUGAUACAAUUUUGUUGCUGAUAUUUGAUUACAUAUUUUAUUAAAAGUGAUUUCUUUUCAA